rnacentral:tRNA from 1 species
GGGUGCGUGGCUCAGCUUGGAUAGAGCGACUGGCUUCGGACCAGUAGGUCGGGGGUUCAAAUCCUCCCGCGCCCA